rnacentral:antisense_RNA from 1 species
UAUCUUAGACCAAGAAAAAGAAAUCCAAGAAUUUACGAAUUUGUUAAAGUAUAUGUAGUAAAUUGAUCAAAAGAAAUAAAAAAUGGUGGCUCCGAUUGGACUUGAACCAACGACCACCACCA